rnacentral:lncRNA from 1 species
CCAGUAAUGGGAUUGCUGGGUAAAAUUGUAUUUUUCCAGUUCUAGGUCUUUGAGGAAUCACCACACUGUCUUCCACAAUGGUUGAACUAAUUUACUUUCCCACCAAUGGUGUAAAAAGCAUCUCCAAGAGCAUAGAUCUUCUGCUACACGACAGGGCCAGGGCCAGGACCACUUUCAGCUCCAGGCAAUUGCACUGAGGACUCAGUGACACAACCGUGUGAAGUGCCUGCUUCCCCUUCGCCUUCUGCCAUGAUUGGAAGCUUCCUGAGGCCUCUACAGAAGCAGAAGCCGCUAUGCUUCCUGUACAGCUUGCAGAACUAUGAGCCAA